rnacentral:rRNA from 1 species
AGCGAACGCUGGCGGCAGGCCUAACACAUGCAAGUCGAGCGCCGUAGCAAUACGGAGCGGCAGACGGGUGAGUAACGCGUGGGAACGUGCCCUUUAGUUCGGAAUCACCCAGGGAAACUUGGGCUAAUACCGGAUACGCCCUUCGGGGGAAAGGUUUAUCGCUAAAGGAUCGGCCCGCGUAAGAUUAGCUAGUUGGUGAGGUAACGGCUCACCAAGGCUAUGAUCUUUAGCUGUUCUGAGAGGAAGAUCAGCCACACUGGGACUGAGACACGGCCCAGACUCCUACGGGAGGCAGCAGUGGGGAAUAUUGGACAAUGGGCGCAAGCCUGAUCCAGCCAUGCCGCGUGAGUGAUGAAGGCCUUAGGGUUGUAAAGCUCUUUUACCAGGGAAGAUAAUGACGGUACCUGGAGAAUAAGCCCAGGCUAACUUCGUGCCAGCCGCCGCGGUAAUAC